rnacentral:rRNA from 1 species
GAUGAACGCUGGCGGCGUGCCUAAUACAUGCAAGUCGAGCGAACAGACGAGGAGCUUGCUCCUCUGACGUUAGCGGCGGACGGGUGAGUAACACGUGGAUAACCUACCUAUAAGACUGGGAUAACUUCGGGAAACCGGAGCUAAUACCGGAUAAUAUAUUGCACCGCAUGGUUCAAUAGUGAAAGACGGUUUUGCUGUCACUUAUAGAUGGAUCCGCGCCGCAUUAGCUAGUUGGUAAGGUAACGGCUUACCAAGGCAACGAUGCGUAGCCGACCUGAGAGGGUGAUCGGCCACAUUGGAACUGAGACACGGUCCAGACUCCUACGGGAGGCAGCAGUAGGGAAUCUUCCGCAAUGGGCGAAAGCCUGACGGAGCAACGCCGCGUGAGUGAUGAAGGUCUUCGGAUCGUAAAACUCUGUUAUUAGGGAAGAACAAAUGUGUAAGUAACUAUGCACGUCUUGACGGUACCUAAUCAGAAAGCCACGGCUAACUACGUG